AACUUUGUAAAGUAUUACAAUCCACCACCUAUGUCUAACUCCGUUAAAAUUUUCGUUAAGUUUAAGUGCAUUUUCUUCUAUUCCUUAUAACUAAAAAUAAAUGUAAAACACAUAUUUAAAAAUAAUAAAAAGAUGUUAUAACUUCAUAGAUUGUGAAUUCUAUGGGCCAAAUACUCUCUUUCCCCCUCCAUCUAGCGAGUUCACA
rnacentral:lncRNA from 1 species